rnacentral:tRNA from 1 species
GUGGGUGUAGCUCAGUGGUAGAACAUGUGCUUAGCAUGCACAAGGUCCCAGGUACAAGCCCUGGUACCUCCA